rnacentral:rRNA from 1 species
AGCAGUCGCCACGGUAAUACGUAGGUGGCAAGCGUUGUCCGGAAUUAUUGGGCGUAAAGGGCUCGCAGGCGGUUUCUUAAGUCUGAUGUGAAAGCCCCCGGCUCAACCGGGGAGGGUCAUUGGAAACUGGGAAACUUGAGUGCAGAAGAGGAGAGUGGAAUUCCACGUGUAGCGGUGAAAUGCGUAGAGAUGUGGAGGAACACCAGUGGCGAAGGCGACUCUCUGGUCUGUAACUGACGCUGAGGAGCGAAAGCGUGGGGAGCGAACAGGAUUAGAUACCCGCGUAGUCCCUGUCUCUUAUAA